rnacentral:rRNA from 1 species
UGGCCUUGAAUUCGUAGGCUCUAAAUGCGCAACCUAUGGAGGUGCAGAUGUAAGCCUCUUGGAAUGGAGCAUCAAAGAGGGUGAGAGUCCUAGUUUGUCAUCUGCAGUCCUCUGUGCUCGGUGUGCAAUUUCAAAGUCACGUUCCUUGGGAUUGGAGCGUAAAGGGGGUGGUAAAUUUCAUCUAAAGCUAAAUAUUGGUUUGAGACCGAUAGCAAACAAGUACCAUGAGGGAAAGGUAAAAAGGACUUUGAAAAGAGAGUUAAAAGUGCCUGAAAUGGCUGAAAGGGAAGCGAAUGGAACAAGUUAUCCUUGGUGAGAUUGUUGUACACGAAAUCAAUGCAAAUGUUGCAGUGGGUUGAGUGUUUCUUGCCUUAUGUGUCAAAUUGGGUUCAAACUUGAUGAAAACGCCUUGGACAUGACACUCUGCUUAUGGGCGGACAAAUGUGCAGGGUUGAACUCAGAUGACAACAUGGUUACAUUCGACCCGGCAGUUCAUGAGUGGGAAACUUACUUGCGCAAUGAAAGUGACAGCUGGGAUGGUUGCACCAGCCACCGACCAAUCACUUGUGAAAGGUUUGAGUAUGAGCAUAUAUGUUAGGACCCGAAAGAUGGUGAACUAUGCCUGUGAAGGGCAAAGUCAGGGGAAACUCUGAUGGAGGCUUGUAGCGAUACUGACGUGCAAAUCGUUCGUCAUACUUGGGUAUAGGGGCGAAAGACUAAUCGAACCAUCUAGUAGCUGGUUCCCUCCGAAGUUUCCCUCAGGAUAGCUGGAGUUGAACAGUUUUAUCAGGUAAAGCGAAUGAUUAGAGGAAUCGGGGACGCGUUGUCCUCGACCUAUUCUCAAACUUUAAAUGGGUAAGAUCUAGUGGUUACUUGUGUGAACUUCUGGGCUAAAUGACAACUCUAAGUGGGCCAUUUUUGGUAAGCAGAACUGGCGAUGAGGGAUGAACCUAACGUUAGGUUAAGGUGCUUAACUGCUCGCUCAUCAGAUACCAUAAAGGGUGUUGGUUCAUUUUAACAGCAGGACGGUGGUCAUGGAAGUCG